GUAUAAAUUAAAAGUUUUCCAUUUUAUUAAAAUAACGUAUGAUUACAACAACUCAAACACCAAAUUAGACAACUACAAAAGAUAGGCACCCCAGGCUAGUCGAGCUCCCGUCGAUGAAGCAAAAGAGGAUGGCCCGUAGAAUAAGCCUAUUUCUUGAGGCUCAACAGCUCUCCGUCUUCUCUAUCAUUGCUCUGCACCUCGACUUUGGCAUCGCUAUCCGUAGUAAGGUUGAGGCUACUAAAGUCGGCCUAGGAGAGUAGCUUUGACACUUGGCUUUGACAUUCAUUGAAGACCUCCAUGAAAAUCUUGACUGCAGUUAGAGCAAGCCAUGUGUUGUAGAUCCUGAUGCCUUGAACUUCUUUAUCUCCCAGAAAGCUUCCUUCUCAGCUAGGGCAACCCAAAAUCAGGCAAUCUUCAACUCCUCCUCCGCCACAGCCACUCGGAGCAUCGCCGCUUGGGUCUAAUCCUUCUCAACUACCGGCCGAGUUUUGAGGGACCCAACUUUGGCCUCCGCCUCAACAGUCUUCAACCUUCUCUCUAGCCUCCCAUAAAUCAAGCCAAGGCGUCUCUACUUGAUUCUGAAGAUGUCAUUCUCAGGGAGAGUUUAUCCCAAAAAAAAAAGGGGCAAAGGGGUUAAGAGGAACGCCAACCUCCCAAAAGAAAAGAAGGAAGAAAAUGGCCCCCCAAGUCUGCUUCCAUAACAACUUGAAGCGUGGGCACUAUAGAAGCUUUCCUUAGGGCAAUAGAAAGAGUAUCUGGAACUUCCUCAGAUAUGAUGAGUUUACAAAAGCAUUUUCUCCUUUUUGUAAGGCUUUGAAUGGCUUGGAUCAAUUCAAUCGAUCAUCAUUUCUCUCAAAUCGAUAGAUGUGUGUCGUAUUUCUAUUGCUCCAAAUGGUCAAACAACGCCUCGAGAGGCAGAGCAUCCAGACUCGUCCCACAAGGGAGCACCACUCAAGAGUUACUAAUCUCCUUAAAGCAUCACAUAUUCUGACAAAAUGGUUACUUUCUUCAGCCAAAUCGAGAGAGACACUUUGGACUCGGAGGUGGGGGAACCAAAGUAGGGGCAAUUAAUAACUAGCAUGAUGUGGUGUAUAAGGACUCGUCUAACUCACAACCCAUGCGGCGGUCCCAGCAUAUCCAGGUCUCCUUCAAGACAUCCUAGCCUGGCCUUCUUCCAUAGGCAUGGACAGCAAGCUAAGUAGAACAAAAGGGACCAACCUCUAAGACUGCCACUUCCCAACUUGGCUUGGCAACCUCAGCCAUUGAGGCAUAUUGAACAGAGCACCUCCAUAGGGGAAGCAGUUUAGCCUUCCACUGCUUCAAAGGCACGCCUAACUCCGCCACGAACAAUGUUAUUACAACACGUCUCUAAGGCUAAUAUGCCAUGUCAGCAGUUU
rnacentral:lncRNA from 1 species